GGAUAGAUGGCUGAGAGGUUUAAUGCACCGGUUUUGAAAACCGACGUAGUG
rnacentral:tRNA from 1 species